rnacentral:rRNA from 1 species
CGGAGCUUGCUCUGGUGGCGAGUGGCGAACGGGUGAGUAAUAUAUCGGAACGUACCCUGGAGUGGGGGAUAACGUAGCGAAAGUUACGCUAAUACCGCAUACGAUCUACGGAUGAAAGUGGGGGAUCGCAAGACCUCAUGCUCGUGGAGCGGCCGAUAUCUGAUUAGCUAGUUGGUAGGGUAAAAGCCUACCAAGGCAUCGAUCAGUAGCUGGUCUGAGAGGACGACCAGCCACACUGGAACUGAGACACGGUCCAGACUCCUACGGGAGGCAGCAGUGGGGAAUUUUGGACAAUGGGCGAAAGCCUGAUCCAGCAAUGCCGCGUGAGUGAAGAAGGCCUUCGGGUUGUAAAGCUCUUUUGUCAGGGAAGAAACGGUGAGGGCUAAUAUCCCUUGCUAAUGACGGUACCUGAAGAAUAAGCACCGGCUAACUACGUGCCAGCAGCCGCGGUAAUACGUAGGGUGCAAGCGUUAAUCGGAAUUACUGGGCGUAAAGCGUGCGCAGGCGGUUUUGU